AACGUAGGAGACGAGCGUUAAUCGGAAUUACUGGGCGUAAAGCGCGCGUAGGUGGUUUGUUAAGUUGGAUGUGAAAGCCCCGGGCUUAACUUGGGAACUGCAUCCAAAACUGGCAAGCUAGAGUACGGUAGAGGGUGGUGGAAUUUCCUGUGUAGCGGUGAAAUGCGUAGAUAUAGGAAGGAACACCAGUGGCGAAGGCGACCACCUGGACUGAUACUGACACUGAGGUGCGAAAGCGUGGGGAGCAAACAGG
rnacentral:misc_RNA from 1 species